AGUCGAACGAGGUCCAACCAGUGGCAACACUGGGGAAGACCUAGUGGCGAACGGGUGAGUAACACGUGAGGAACCUUCCCCGAAGACUGGGAUAAGCCCUCGAAAGGGGGUCUAAUACCGGAUAUCCCCUCCAUGUCGCAUGGCGAGGAGAGGAAAUGGUCCGCCGCUUCGGGACGGUCUCGCGGCCUAUCAGCUUGUUGGUGAGGUAAAGGCUCACCAAGGCAACGACGGGUAGCUGGUCUGAGAGGACGAUCAGCCACACUGGGACUGAGACACGGCCCAGACUCCUACGGGAGGCAGCAGUGGGGAAUCUUGCGCAAUGGGCGAAAGCCUGACGCAGCAACGCCGCGUGCGGGAUGAAGGCCUUCGGGUUGUAAACCGCUUUCAGUAGGGACGAAUUCAGACGGUACCUACAGAAGAAGCACCGGCCAACUACGUGCCAGCAGCCGCGGUAACACGUAGGGUGCAAGCGUUGUCCGGAAUCAUUGGGCGUAAAGAGCUCGUAGGCGGCUUAGUAAGUCGGGUGUGAAACCUCCAGGCUCAACCUGGAGACGCCACCCGAUACUGCUAUAGCUAGAGUCCAGUAGGGGAGUGCGGAAUUCCCGGUGUAGCGGUGAAAUGCGCAGAUAUCGGGAGGAACACCAGCGGCGAAGGCGGCACUCUGGGCUGGAACUGACGCUCAGGAGCGAAAGCGUGGGUAGCGAACAGGAUUAGAUACCCUGGUAGUCCACGCCGUAAACGUUGGGCACUAGGUGUGGGGUCUAUUCAACGGACUCCGUGCCGUAGCUAACGCAUUAAGU
rnacentral:rRNA from 1 species